UAGGCCUCUUUUCCAUUACACGGUUUCUCGCCGUGAAAAUCUACGGUUAAUUCGCCGCGUGUAGGCACGGUCGUCAGUGUGGUAUGGAUCACUAUAUGAGCUUGUCGACAUGCACGGUGGCGCCAAGGCACGGCGCCGCGGCCGCGUGCGCCGUGACUGCCCCUCGGCGCGCCGCGUCUACGCACGGCGUGAUUUUCACCAGUGUUGUAUGGCAGUCUAUCGGGGUGUGUCGACGGUGCCGGACGUACGCACGGAUUCGUGACCGCUUAUAUACGCUGUUUCGCGAUUUUAUUAUAAAAUGAACAUAAAUCAAGAAUUAUUAAUUACGUUGAUUCAAGAAAGGCCUGUAAUAUGGGAUAAGACCAUCGACGAUUAUAAAAAUAAGCGGCUUAAAUAUGAUUCCUGGAAAGAAAUAUUUAUUCAUUUCCAGCCCACAUUUGAAGAUUUAAGUGGUGAUGAGAAAAACAAGUUUGGGCAAAUGGUGAUGAAGAAGUGGACCAAUAUGAAAGAUAGCUGGAUAAAAUAUGACAAAAAAAUUAAUGAAUGUAAGUCUGGUUCUUCAGCAAAAAAAAUAAGAAAAUAUAUGUUCUAUGAUGAAAUGAUGUUCCUAAAAAAAAAUGUUGAGCAUCGCAAGACCGAUUCUAACAUGACUGAACAUGUUCAUGAUUCUAGCCUCAGUAAUGAAAAUUUUGAUAGUGCAGUCCCGAAUCAAUCAAGCUCGGGAUACACUGAACGGAGACGCAAAGGGCUAAAAAAAAAAGAAAAAAUGAACUAAGUGAAGUUGACAUUAGGUUUAUGAAGUUUAUGGAUUCAGCAGAACGAGAUGAGAAAAAGAAAAGCCGUAGUAUGAACUUUUUUAUGGGAAUCGCUGAUACAGUUGACAAGUUCAGUGAUGAAAAUAUGAUAGACUUUCAGUUUCAAGUAAUUUCAAUAAUUAAAAAUAUUCAACAAAGACAGUGUACUCAGUAUAUACCUACAUCAAGAAACCAAUGGGAUCAAGGCCAUCAAGGAUAUUUAAGUGGUACAGCAUCCUCAAAUGCGCAAUCGUCAACAUAUGGAUAUUCUACAGCUGCUAGAUCGAGCUAUGGAAUAAGUCGUCCACAGACGUCUUCUCAUGAUUUUGGACACGGUUCUGGUUUAGAGCCAAUCCACUACCGACCCGAAUCACAAUUAUCUGUACAUAGUGUAAAUGCGGAAAGUAUCUCGGCAGAUUCUCAAGUUUCUAUUGAAGACGAAUUCGAUUUUAGUACCGAACUUGAGUAGCAUUUUCAGCGUAGUGUAUUUUUUGAUUUACUUGUUCUUAAAUUAAUAAUUAUUAAAAUUCAAUUACAUGUAAU